UGUGUUUGUUUGUGUGUGUAUUGCAGGGGGCCCACAUAUAAAUAAGAUAAAGUAAAGGAAGAAUAUAAAUAUUGAUUUUGAGUUACAUAAUUUGUGAUUUUGCUAAAAACAAAAACAAAUGAUGACUAUGGGCUUUAGACAGAAGAGGUGGGUUCUCCUGUCUAAAGAAAACAAAUCCUUAUUUAGUAAUAUACACUUUUACUCCAUUUUUCCACCUUUGUUACAAUAUCAAUAGAUGUUUUAUUUCAAUUGUGAUGUGCAGUGCAUUAUAAAAAGUAUAUGACUAUAACCAUUUUUGCACAAUAUUGCAUCUUAAUAAAUAAUACCAGAGAUUUCUCUUGUGAACAAAGGGAACCUCAUCUUCCAUCUUAAAAAAUCAAAAGACUUUUCAAAAACUACAAAUAACAUAUUCCAUUUACCUGUGAAAACACAAAUUUCAUCAGGAACCUCAUUUUACAGUAGUGUUCAGUUUUAUUCAUGUAAUUAUCAAAUGAGUUACGUGAUAUCACAUACGUUUACCUGUUCUGCAAGUGAUAUUAUCCAUAUGAUAAGGGUACAGGUUUCUUGAAGUUAGAAAUUAUUCUGUAGUUCUUAUACCAUAAUAAUAAGGCUACAUGUUCCUUGCAUCCUGAAAAUUGUUCUUAAUGUAUCAAGAAGUCAUUUGCCAUUGAUGUCAGGUACUGCUCAGGGUAAUAUUUGUAUGGUCAUUUGCACAGUCUAGAUCACUAGAGAUAAAAAAUAUAUAUCAUUUCUGGAAAGCUUUUUUUUAUCAAAAUAGGUUAAGAAUACAAUAAGGUGAUAAUAAUAUUAAUGAUCAACUAAACUGUGCUAUACAAUGAGGUUCUGCAGUAGUAACAAAAAUUCACUUAUAUUUCUUUGUCAGUUUCUUUUUUUUAUAUAUACUUAGUGCCACUGAAGAGAUGUGCAAUACUGACCCUUUUGUUUACAAUGUAAUCCAUUACUUUUCAAAAUUUCAUGGUUACGAUAAUAACAUCGUAACCAGUCCCUUAAAUUUAUGUGGUUUUCUAUGUGAUUGUCUUUCAUCUUAAAAAAAAUCCCACAAAAGGAAGCCCUAUCCUUAGAGAAAUUCUUACCCUAGUUUACCCCAUUCUCAACAUAUUCAUUUUAUCCUGUCUUAGAAAAGCAGUUUCAGUGGUGUCCUUACUGACAUGCACCAAAAUAAUGUUCAAGUGCUAAACAUACCCAAACACUUGUACUUCGAAAACAUGAUGCAUAAAAAAUAAUCCCGGUGUUUUAGACUUGUUCCUAUGGUAAUGGAGAUUUCCAAUGUGCAAUUGUUUUGUCACUGAAUAUGUGUCUCCACUCUAGUUGAAUAAAGAUAUCUGCAAGUAUCUCUUUUCAUUGCUCUAUAUCUUAAUCUGUAGUACUGGUAGCUUGCAAAUCUAUGUUCUGCUAUCAUUUAUAAUUAAUACUUUAUCACAAACACUGAUAACUGAAGAGGCAAGUAAAAUAAUCAUAUACUCAUGUCCUCUACUGAUAACCAAUGGAAAGACACUGAUAUUGCUGAAUAUAUACACUGUGUGGAAAGGCUAAUAUGAAAGAUACAAACACUAAUAUAGUGAAGUAAUGACCAGCAUUUUAUGGAAAUAUAUUUAUCCACUUCAAAAUCUGCCUUUGUUAUUUUCCAAAUAUUCCUUUAGUAGCUCUAAAUCCAUAUGUUCCCUCUCAGAACUUCAAAGCUACAGCACAUAUACUUGCUAACUCAUAAUCUAUGGCUACUGAAAGUUUUUGUUCUGAGAGUCCUUAGAACAGUGGCAUCAAUCAGGACCCACAUUACACCCUAAGGCAUUAAAAAGGAAUAAUUGCAAAUAAGGAAACAAAGCAGUAAAAUAUAUUUAACCUUUUAUUUCUUUAUAUAGACAGGUUUAUUACAAAACCAAUUAUCAAACCAAGCAGCUACCAUACGUAGCUUAUAUUCAGCUAUACUGCAAGUUUAUACUACGCGUUUAAAACAUGCUAAAAAGUAUAUUUGUCAAUAAAAUACAACCUUCAUGUGAGUGAUGUCACCACAUCACAGGCAACACUUGAAUCCCUCUGGCAAUUACUCUAUACUGCCCCCAGGAAUGCAAUGAUCAUUAGAUUGAGUACAAGAUAAAGAUUCAUAACAAAAAAAAAAGAAAAAGAAAAAAAAAAAAAAAUUCAGACACCAAUAAACAGGUGGCCAACAUGAAGAAACAUUUAAAGAUGGGUUAAUCAAAUCAUUACAUCUUGUCUUGCUUUGUAUUCUGUCUAUCAACUUUCAUUUCUUGUCUGGAUGGAAUAUUGUUACAAUGACUACAUAACUUCGUUUCAACAUUGGAGAAUACUACCAGGCAUACUAUUCAGCAUACAGAGAAAAUCAACAACAAAGUUUUAGUGCAAGGAGGUCUUUUGAAAGAAUUCUAAACAUUUUUAAAGGACCAUCAAAAGAAGAGAAUAUCACGAUGUAAAGACCAUUAGUUUGUAUUGUGAGCAGUUUCCAAGUAAAAUAUUUAUAUUAUUUACUUGUUACCUAAUGAAGCAUAUGACUGAUAGAAUAAUAAAAGUAAAUACUUGUUAUGCUAAAAUCAUGCAGGGUAAUACCAAAAAGAAAAUGUAACUUGCCACAAGAGGCAGUAAAUAACUCUGAUAUUUUCAAAAAUGUUAUUUGCUAAUUCUCAUGUAUCACAUUCCCACAAUACUUUAAACAUAUGUAACUAGUCUUAUUCUUACAUGGCUAUCACAUCAUGUGUGAAUGUGGACCCAAGAGAGUCUUCAUCUGAAUGGGAAAAUAUUAAAUAAGUGAGAAAACUGAUAAAAUAAUCCUUGAAGAAUAACAAUAAUCUUAAAGAAGAGCUGAAAAGAUUUGGUGUUUUAUGUUUUUUGCUUUAUACAUCAUACAUAUAAAAUGUACUAACAUCCAACACACUUUUCACCUUUUGAGGGUGUGUAAAAUAAGGACCUAUUUUAUACCAAAUCAAUGUCUCAGAGUACAAAGUUCAUUUAUUUGCAUUUGUGUGUGUGAGGUGGGAGCUUAUGUCUACACGUUUUUCAGUGUGUGUAUACAAAUGUUUAUGCAUGUACAAAUGCAAGUUUAUUAUAAAUAAAUACAUAUAUCUAUACGUGGAACUUGUGUGAUGAUACGUCAUUGUUAUUCUAGAUUUCUGGUCUCCAUCUCUGCCAUUCUGAUUAAGAAAAUAAAAUAGAACAGGAAUACAUUUCUGAAAAUGUCUGAACUCUUUCAUAUUAUUAUGCACAAUAACUCCCACACCAACAAAUGGGUGUCUUGAAAAACUAAGCUUGUAUUAUAUGUACAGGCUUCUUUCAAUUUCGAAAACACAAUUUCAAAUUCAACUUUCCUCCUUCACUUCAUCACUUGUAGAGGUGGACUAGACAUUUCUAUGAAGGAAUCAUAAUCAUAAUUAGACUAUUAUUAACUAUGUUUCACUCAUUGACUAUGCCAGACCAAACUUGGUAGUACCAUUACAUGAUCUUCAUUUCUUUACACCCACCAGUUGUUUUACAACUUCAUGACCACAAAUCAACAAUAAAUAUAUAUACCUAGUUCCCAAGUUUAGUGUUUAAAUUAGCCUCCAUGAAGUCUCUUAUUACAAAGAAAAAAAAAAAGGAUGAUCUGGUGUUGAAGACAGACUAUUGAACCCACUGCUGCUUAUAAAUGAGUUCUAAAUCAACUGCAGAAUACCCACCUAAUUUUCACUAUCUGAUAACCCUACACUUAAUAACCCACAGACUAUAACUCACCUGCUCAUGAUCCAUGUCACACUGUAACAAUUAUUGCUCUGUAACACAAGGUUUCUUAUUGUUUGGGUGGAGGACGUCCAUAGCAUCAGAAUCAUUUUGGAUGAAAGAUUAUCUGGAUGCAUAUGAAAAUACUACCUCUAAACAAAUCUAAUUCGUACAAAAUCUGUUGAAAGAGCUUCAGAGGUUUGUAUUACAUGGCCAGGUACAAGUGUUUGCUAGGCACAUAAACAAGUAGGUAGAGCAGAGAACAUAACGUCUUCAACUAUUACUCUUACAAUCUUUGGUGUAAAUGUAUUUUCCAUGCUCUUUCCCCAUCUGCCAUUUGAAUUUCAAAUCACUUUAACAUUGGAAUAAAAAAAACUAGAUAUUUUUCCCUAGUCAAUAAUAUAUGGAAAAUGUAUAUCCUAUAUUGAAAAUCAAUAUAAACAGAUGGGAGAAAAUGCAUACAUACAUACAUACAUACAUACAUGCAAUCCAUUCACAGAAAUGGGGGGGGGGGGGGGGGAAUCUCGAAGCACUUCCUUAAAUAUCUACAACAGAAACAUAAAGCUCAUCACUUUCUUCUCAAAAGCUCAGUCACUGAUGGAGACUCUCGGGAGAAAACAAUAAGUAGGCACCAAAUCUAAGGAAUGCGAACCCUCCUUAUGUGAUAUCUAAAAAUGCCUUUGCCUCAGCAGCUUCAGGCCCUGGACAAAGUGGCUGUGCUGUAAUGGUAACUUGCUUUCCUUCCCUUCACCACAGUCUGCAUGUACAGAUGUUGACUUGCAUAUAUGCUGGGUUUGGGUAUGGAGUUGUGGGAAUAGGGGGUGAGGAUUCGGUAUGGGUAUGGGCAUGAGGAAAAACGAAGGUAUGGAUGUGGGUAUGGGCAUGAGGAAAAACGAAGGUAUGGAUGUGGGUAUGGGCAUGAGGAAAAACGAAGGUAUGGAUGUGAGUAUGGGAAUGGAUGCGAGUAGGAGGAGGAUCGUGGUUAUAGUUGUGAGUACAUACACACAUGUAUCUCUGCAAGUGCAUGUGCAUGUAUGUAAUCAAAUGGAAGAGGAGCCGACUAGUUUUUUUUUUUCAUGGACAUACCUCUGGAUCUGCAAAGGGGAUCAGCAACGAGGCCAACAUGCAAAAGCUUUUACAGAGAUUCCACAAGUGAUCUUCAAUAAGUCCUCUCCAGGAAAAUAAAUCUUCACUUCACUUCUUUACCCUACAAUCUAAACAGUAAGACAUUAAUCUAACUGCCUAAAAACAGUGAAAAUAAUUUGGAAGACAUGCCGAAACAAGAAAUAUUAUGGAAAAAGAUAAGACAAAAAGAGAGACAUUCACACAACAUUAAUGGAGAGAAGGAUCAAAAAGGCCUGAAGGUGCAGACUUCAUGGACAUUGAGAGAGAAACGUUAGUUACGAAUAGUUGAUGAAGGAAAGAGAAACAAGCUAACAAAGGCACUAUUGUUUUAUCAAUUAGAUAAAGAAAUAUAUCAUAAUACUUUCUCUAUACUCUCUUUCAUACUCUUGAAAACCCUGUCCAGUUUACAGGCCAGACUAAAUACACAACAGUAAAAAAAAAAAAUGUAUAUGAAGUAAU